rnacentral:rRNA from 1 species
UACGGAGGGUGCAAGCGUUAUCCGGAUUCACUGGGUUUAAAGGGUGCGUAGGUGGGCAGGUAAGUCAGUGGUGAAAUCUCCGGGCUUAACCCGGAACUGCCGUUGAUACUAUCUGUCUUGAAUAUCCUGGAGGUGAACGGAAUAUGUCAUGUAGCGGUGAAAUGCUUAGAUAUGACAUAGAACACCAAUUGCGAAGGCAGUUCACUACGGGAUCAUUGACACUGAGGCACGAAAGCGUGGGGAUCAAACAGG